AAAAAAAAAUUGAGAACAUUGUUCGAUGCGGCAAGGUCGAGUCAAAUGGUAUAAAAAGCUGGAAAAUUUAACAGGUAUUGUGCUACUAGUUUUUUCGUUCAUCCAGUGUUCAUCAGCUGUACUGCUCAACUUUAUCUUCACUAUGAAGACUUUGGUUGCUCUCUUUUUUCUGCUCUCUGUAUUGCUCACCAUAGCUUCAUCACUGCCGUUGAUGUACUACGGUUAUCCAUACACUGCUCCUUAUUAUUCUUAUUAUCCUGCUUAUGCCCCAGCAUACACUGCCCCUUAUGCAGCAUUCCCCUUCUUCAAGUAGGAAAUAGAUUCAGACAUUUCGGAUUUAAUUGAGGUAAAGAAAAAUGGCAAUAUGAAGAAAAGAAGUGUAUAAGCAGAAAUGUUUGAUUUAUUUGUAAUAAUUAAUUCUGAUUUAUUUGUAAUAAUUAAUUGAUCAUAUUACCGAUAUAUAUUGUUUUUUUUUCUUUCUUUUUUGUCAGCUUGACAUUUACACCAACGAAUGACAACUACACCUGACAUGAAAAUUUUAAUUAAAAUUUAUAAGGCAUGAAAAA